GAUUUCUGGCUUGAAACAUUUUGCCGGCCACGGUUUCGUGUGUUAGUGCUUGAUGUUCUGGCCAUCCUUCCAAUUGCUGAUGACCUUUCUUCAUUGAUUGGUUAUUGGUAUUGGAUCUUUUACUUUGAAAAAAUUAGAGUGUUUCAAGCAGGCUUUAUGCUAUGAAUACAUUAGCAUGGAAUAAUAAUUUAGGACUUCGGUUCUAUUUUGUUGGUUUCUAGGACUGAAGUAAUGAUUGAUAGGGAUAGUUGGGGGUGCUAGUAUUCAGCGGCCAGAGGUGAAAUUCUUGGAUUCGCUGAAGACUAACUUAUGCGAAAGCAUU
rnacentral:rRNA from 1 species